GCGGGAGAGGCCGUCGGUAUUCUCGGGGUAGGGGUGAAAUCCUAUAAUCCCGGGAGGACCACCAGUGGCGAAGGCUGUCGGCUAGAACGCGCCCGACGGUGAGGGAUGAAAGCUGGGGGAGCGAACCGGAUUAGAUACCCGGGUAGUCCCAGCUGUAAACGAUGCAGGCUAGGUGUUAGGGCGGCUACGUGCCGCUCUAGUGCCGCAGGGAAGCUGUUAAGCCUGCCGCCUGGGGAGUACGGCCGCAAGGCUGAAACUUAAAGGAAUUGGCGGGGGAGCACCACAAGGGGUGAAGCUUGCGGUUUAAUUGGAGUCAACGCCGGAAAUCUCACCGGGGGCGACAGCAGAAUGAAAGCCAGAUUAAAGGUCUUGCCAGACGAGCUGAGAGGAGGUGCAUGGCCGUCGCCAGUUCGUGCCGUGAGGUGUCCUGUUAAGUCAGGCAACGAUCGAGACCCGCAUCCCCCGUUGCUACCAGCCUUGAGUUGGGCACACUGGGGAGACCGCCGCCGAUAAGGCGGAGGAAGGAGCGGGCCACGGCA
rnacentral:rRNA from 1 species